UACGUAGGGACCGAGCGUUGUCCGGAAUCAUUGGGCGUAAAGAGCGUGUAGGCGGCUUGUUAAGUCUUGCGUGAAAUCUCGGGGCUCAACCCCGAGCGGUCGUGAGAAACUGGCAGGCUAGAGUGCGGGAGAGGAGAGUGGAAUUCCUGGUGUAGCGGUGAAAUGCGCAGAUAUCAGGAAGAACACCCGUAGCGAAGGCGGCUCUCUGGAACGCAACUGACGCUGAGACGCGAAAGCGUGGGGAGCAAACAGG
rnacentral:rRNA from 1 species